AAAAAAAAAAGUCUGACUUGCAACUCUUUUGGUGUUGAGUUCAUCCCAGAACAGAGGCGCAAGGAAGCCCAUUUGUCACUUAAAGUGACAGUGAAGUUCAUGGAGUGGCAGAUGGUUGGCACCCUUUUUGCCUGAAUUCUGAGAACAACUGGUUUCCUCUUCUCCACAGCUUGACCRGACUAAUCGAGGACUACAUCAAAAGAUGCGGGUGUCGGAGCAACUUGCUGAGKAUAGCAUCUACUGAUCGAACUAUUGGUUGUUAAGACUGAAGAUGCUAAAGGUGUUAGGCUUUGUCCUGUGUGGUCUGCUGAUGUCAUUGCAAAGUUCAAAUGCAGAAAGCACCAUCAUCUCUCAAGAAGCAUAUGAGAAGGCCUGUGAAGAUUCAACAAAUAGCCUUUUUGAGUCUGAAAUGAGCAAAUUCACGUUCCCAGAAUUAAAAGUGGAUUCAAUAACUAUCAAAGGGCUGUACGUCAUGAAUGUUACAAUUCUUCCAAUAAAGGCCAAGUGCAUCCCUGGAGCUGGGGUCAAGGUGUACUUUUCCGCUCUUCUGAGUAUCUUUGGUACUUGUGGAAAUGUCCUUGUGCCUGGCGUGGUCACUGUCACUGUGAGGUUAAACUGCAGCGCACUGGUUCUGCUGGAAGRCUACUCGCCAGACAACAGCUCUGUUGGUGUCAGGGACUACACAUGUGACGCGAGUCUGAYAGAUGUCGAAAUAAGCUUGAGGUGAGUGCUGCUGAUUUUUCACAAGCACAGAUCUUUGUGGGAUAGGGCCCUGUGCUAAGGCAUGUCAACAGCCUUUAAAUCUCCAUUUGAUACAGCUUGU
rnacentral:lncRNA from 1 species